CCUCUCCUUCAUUCGAGUGACGACGGCACGAGCUACAACUUCGAAGCGAAGAGAGCAACAUAUUUAUGAUUUACAAGUUAAUGUCUGGUGAUCUGUUUUAGAGGACGACUUUCUCGACAUACAUCGUUUAUUUCGACGUUAUCAGAACAAAGGAUUCAAUUCGACCUGCCUGUGCCAGAAAGCAAGACAAUGGCCAAGGGAAAAGACACUCUCUCUGACAUGGCCCAAGCUCGUCAGAGUGACGGCAUCCAUGUCAUCUUUGACCAGGACAGCCCUGCGUCUUCUCGCUCCAGAUCCAAGAGCAGCGGCCGCUCCUCCGUCUCUGACCGCUACAGGGGACGUGACAGCCACAGGGGACGUUAUAGGUCUCCAUCUUCCUCAACAUCAUCUUCAUCCAGCAGCAGGUCCUCCUCUCGCUCCAGGUCCCGCUCUCACCCUCGUUGCCACAGACGCUCAUCCCGCUGUCGCUGUGACGACCAUCACAGAUAUGGCCGUGGCCGUUACCGCCACUCCCCAGCACGCCACCGCAGGGCCCAGUCUCGCUCCUACAGCCGUUCACCCUCAUCAGACAGGUACUCGCGCCACAGACGUUACAGGUCCCGUUCCAGGUCUUCCAGCCCUUGGUACAGGUAUAGGACAGCAGCGAGGCGGUUUACCCGAUCCCCACCCAGAACCUACAGGAGCCGCUCAAGGUCCAGAUCUUCAGGUCGAUCUGUCAGUUUGAGUUUGGAUGAUAAAAGAGAACUCCUCAAAGCUGCAAAGGCCAAUGCUAUGAAGAUCCUAGGAGUGGAGAAGCUGGAACUUCCUGAGAGUGUGAAACCACUCCUGUCAGAGCAGCUGGAGUCCAAAUGGGUGGCACCGCCAGAGGUGAGGGUGAGGCAAGACCCUGAAAGGACUUUGUCACAGGUGGGUCUUUUGAGAGUGAAUGUCAGUUUCACAAGGAACACAUCACACACUACAGAUCAGGCUUGGUUGUAGAUCCUAAGUAGUGUGGGUUUUUUUUUUCCCCUCCCCUUCCUUCUAUCAUGGACUACAUGUAAAUUAGAGGGUGUUGGGAAUGUUGGAUAGCUAGUCACUUAUCAUACCACACAAAAAAUGCACUGAUCAUUAAUGCCAUUAAUCUUUACCUCAUGGGUAAUGGACUCAGUAUUGUAUACAGUGUUGUGUUGAAUUUCCUGUCUUGUGUUAACCUUUGGACCCCUGAGGGAACACACAUACUCUCUGUAUUUAUUCCUGUCUUCAUAGAUUACAUGACAGUGGUCUCCUUCACUCAUCGGCACCUGGGAUUAAAGGGCUGUCAUGUGACUUGGGUGACGACAAUGUGUUUGUGUGAAAGUUGAAAUGGGUCGUUAUUUAGCAGAAUCCUCCACUUGCUGAUGGAGCGCAGGCGUGUGGACUGCAUUAUAGUGACUAUUCCUCUCAAGAGCUAAAAACAGAUGAAGAACACCUCUCCGUAUGUCAAAGAUAAGUUGGUACAUGAGCCGUGUGCUGAGGGGCUGGGAAACCUACGUCGCCAUCAUUCUGCCACUGUAGACAAACAUCCUUUUUACUUUGAUAUACCUUUUUGCUUUUAUUGUAAAGGUCUGUCCUUGAUGCAUUCAUUUAAUUGUUGAGCCUAGCCUUUUGGGGGGAGGGUGCAUGAGAGCUACAGUUUGUUGAAGCUAACACUUAAAAAAUAAUCUAAGCGAUAGAAGUGCUAUACUAGUAAUGGAAGCUAUAAUCUACAUAUGAACUUCACAAACUGUCAAAGCUCACUUGACAAUCAGUUUUACACAGCCGAAACUAACUACCUGUUUCUUUUUCUUUUUACAGAGCAGUGAUGUGGAGCCUGAUAUGUCCAGCCCAACGAUGUCCCCAAAAAA